UUUUUAAAAAAAAAAAAAAAAAAAAAAAAAAAAAAAAAUUUUUUUUUUUUAAAAAAAAAAAAAAAAAAAAAAUGU
rnacentral:rRNA from 14 species